GAUGAACGCUGGCGGCGUGCCUAAUACAUGCAAGUCGAACGAAGAUCUAGCUUGCUAGAUCUUAGUGGCGAACGGGUGAGUAAUACAUAAAUAAUCUGCCCAUAUGACUGGGAUAACUAUUGGAAACGAUAGCUAAUACCGGAUAGGUUGAUUGGAGGCAUCUCUGAUUAAUUAAAGUAGGAGUUCAACACAAAUGGAUGAGUUUAUGGCGCAUUAGUUAGUUGGUGGGGUAACGGCCUACCAAGACGAUGAUGCGUAGCCGACCUGAGAGGGUGACCGGCCACACUGGGACUGAGACACGGCCCAGACUCCUACGGGAGGCAGCAGUAGGGAAUUUUCGGCAAUGGGCGCAAGCCUGACCGAGCAACGCCGCGUGAGUGAUUAAGGCCUUCGGGUUGUAAAGCUCUGUUGUAAGGGAAGAACAUUCAGGAUAGGAAAUGAUCCUGAACUGACGGUACCUUACCAGAAAGCCACGGCUAACUACGUGCCAGCCGCCGCAGUAA
rnacentral:rRNA from 1 species